rnacentral:rRNA from 1 species
GAUGAACGCUGGCGGCGUGCCUAAUACAUGCAAGUCGAGCGAACAGACGAGGAGCUUGCUCCUCUGAUGUUAGCGGCGGACGGGUGAGUAACACGUGGAUAACCUACCUAUAAGACUGGGAUAACUUCGGGAAACCGGAGCUAAUACCGGAUAACAUGUUGAACCGCAUGGUUCAACAGUGAAAGACGGUCUUGCUGUCACUUAUAGAUGGAUCCGCGCCGCAUUAGCUAGUUGGUAAGGUAACGGCUUACCAAGGCAACGAUGCGUAGCCGACCUGAGAGGGUGAUCGGCCACACUGGAACUGAGACACGGUCCAGACUCCUACGGGAGGCAGCAGUAGGGAAUCUUCCGCAAUGGGCGAAAGCCUGACGGAGCAACGCCGCGUGAGUGAAGAAGGUCUUCGGAUCGUAAAACUCUGUUAUUAGGAAAGAACAAAUGUGUAAGUAACUAUGCACGUCUUGACGGUACCUAAUCAGAAAGCCACGGCUAACUACGUG